UUACACAUGCAGCCGAGCGGUACAUUUCUAGCUUGCUAGAAGAUGACGAGCGGCGGACGGGUGAGUAAUACUUAGGAAUCUACCUAGUAGUGGGGGAUAGCUCGGGGAAACUCGAAUUAAUACCGCAUACGACCUACGGGAGAAAGGGGGCAACUUGUUGCUCUCGCUAUUAGAUGAGCCUAAGUCGGAUUAGCUAGAUGGUGGGGUAAAGGCCUACCAUGGCGACGAUCUGUAGCUGGUCUGAGAGGAUGAUCAGCCACACCGGGACUGAGACACGGCCCGGACUCCUACGGGAGGCAGCAGUGGGGAAUAUUGGACAAUGGGGGAAACCCUGAUCCAGCCAUGCCGCGUGUGUGAAGAAGGCCUUUUGGUUGUAAAGCACUUUAAGCAGUGAAGAAGACUCUUCGGUUAAUACCCGGAGACGAUGACAUUAGCUGCAGAAUAAGCACCGGCUAACUCUGUGCCAGCAGCCGCGGUAAU
rnacentral:rRNA from 1 species